UAAUACAGAGGGUGCGAGCGUUGUUCGGAAUUACUGGGCGUAAAGCGCGCGCAGGCGGCCUUUUAAGUCUGACGGUGAAAUGCCGGGGCUCAACCCCGUGCCCGCCGGAGAUACUGGGAGGCUGGAGACAUGUAGAGGCAAGCGGAAUUCCGGGUGUAGCGGUGGAAUGCGUAGAGAUCCGGAAGAACACCGGAGGCGAAGGCGGCUUGCUGGGCAUUGUCUGACGCUGAGGCGCGAAAGCGUGGGGAGCGAACAGGAUUAGA
rnacentral:rRNA from 1 species